GUCCCGGAACCGCGACACCACCAGCAUGGUCAUGAGGUUGCCGAUGAUCCCGAUGACGAAGAGCAGGACGCAGGCGACGGUGAUGCCGGCACCGACAGAACCGUGCUUCCCCAGCUGCAGACUCCUAUUGUACUAAAGGAUAAUGCUGUACCCAAGAAGAAAUAAGAUGUAAGCAGAACAAGGCCAACUUUAGGUGGAAUAUGAAGAUUUGUCAUCCCACAAAAAACGCACGAUAAGGGACUCCUGCUUCUGCUUUGCACAUGCUAAAGGACAGUGGUGCAGAUAGUGGUGAUAGAAGAGGUAAGAGCUGUGAGAGAAGAUGGCUCUAGGCUCCCAAAAGUUGUCUGCUAGCCCUCAGCUGCAAGAACAUCAGUUUCAUGUUGCCAACAACACAAGAGUGAAGGCAUUGGUCUUACUGCAAUGAAAGAAAGGGACUGAAGUUAAGUAUUUUUUAUUCAGUUUUAUCCACUAGCUGGAUGUAUGAGCAAACUAAACAUUAAAAAGAGAAUUUAAAAAACACAUUAUACUGGACAUUUACC